AGAGUUUGAUCAUGGCUCAGGACGAACGCUGGCGGCGCGCUAAGACAUGCAAGUCGAGCGGGGCGUCUUUUGGCGCCUAGCGGCGGACGGGUGAGUAACACGUGGAUAACCUGCCUGGUCAUCCGGGAUAACAGGCCGAAAGGCCUGCUAAUACCGGAUAAGCUCACGAAGCCGCAUGGCUUUGGGAGAAAAGGUCCUGGUGAGGGACUGUGACCAGAGGGGUCCGCGGCCCAUUAGCUAGUUGGUGAGGUAAUGGCUCACCAAGGCGACGAUGGGUAGCCGGCCUGAGAGGGUGACCGGCCACACUGGGACUGAGACACGGCCCAGACUCCUACGGGAGGCAGCAGUCGGGAAUCUUGCACAAUGGGCGAAAGCCUGAUGCAGCGACGCCGCGUGAGCGAAGAAGGCCUUCGGGUCGUAAAGCUCUGUUGUCUGCGACGAAGGGCCUGGUCAGGAAAUGGGCCAGGCGUGACGGUAGCAGACGAGGAAGCCCCGGCCAACUACGUGCCAGCAGCCGCGGUAAUACGUAGGGGGCGAGCGUUGUCCGGAAUUACUGGGCGUAAAGGGCGUGUAGGCGGCCUGUCAAGUCAGGGGUGAAAGCCCGGGGCUCAACUCCGGGUGUGCCUUUGAGACUGAUGGGCUUGAGUGCUCCAGAGGGCAGUGGAAUUCCCGGUGUAGCGGUGAAAUGCGUAGAGAUCGGGAGGAACACCAGUGGCGAAAGCGGCUGCCUGGGGAGCGACUGACGCUGAGGCGCGAAAGCUGGGGGAGCAAACAGGAUUAGAUACCCUGGUAGUCCCAGCCGUAAACGAUGAGUGCUAGGUGUGAGGGGUAUCGACCCCCCUCGUGCCGUAGCUAACGCAAUAAGCACUCCGCCUGGGGAGUACGGCCGCAAGGUUGAAACUCAAAUGAAUUGACGG
rnacentral:rRNA from 1 species